rnacentral:rRNA from 1 species
GAUAAACGCUGGCGGCGUGCCUAACACAUGCAAGUCGAACGAUCCCGCAAGGGAGAGUGGCGGAAGGGUGAGUAACACGUGGGAAUCUACCUCCUCGCAGGGAACAACCUCUCGAAAGAGAGGCUAAUACCCAAAAGGGUCAGAAAUGAUCAGAGUCGAAAGGCGUGAGGAGAGGAGCCCGCGGCCCAUCAGCUAGUUGGUGAGGUAAUGGCUUACCAAGGCUACGACGGGUAGGGGAUCUGAGAGGAUGUCCCCCACACUGGAACUGAAACACGGUCCAGACGCCUACGGGUGGCAGCAGUGAGGAAUAUUGGACAAUGGGCGAAAGCCCGAUCCAGCAACGCCCGCGUGGAGGAUGAAGGCCUUCGGGUCGUAAACUUCUUUAGAGGGAGACGAGAAAGGACGGUAUCCCU